AUUGAACGCUGGCGGCAGGCCUAACACAUGCAAGUCGAGCGGAUGAAGAGAGCUUGCUCUCUGAUUUAGCGGCGGACGGGUGAGUAAUGCCUAGGAAUCUGCCUGGUAGUGGGGGAUAACGUCCGGAAACGGGCGCUAAUACCGCAUACGUCCUACGGGAGAAAGCAGGGGACCUUCGGGCCUUGCUCUAGCAGAUGAGGCUAGGUCGGAUUAGCUAGUUGGUGAGGUAAUGGCUCACCAAGGCUACGAUCCGUAACUGGUCUGAGAGGAUGAUCAGUCACACUGGAACUGAGACACGGUCCAGACUCCUACGGGAGGCAGCAGUGGGGAAUAUUGGACAAUGGGCGAAAGCCUGAUCCAGCCAUGCCGCGUGUGUGAAGAAGGUCUUCGGAUUGUAAAGCACUUUAAGUUGGGAGGAAGGGCAGUAAGUUAAUACCUUGCUGUUUUGACAUUACCGACAGAAUAAGCACCGGCUAACUUCGUGCCAGCCGCCGCCGUAACAC
rnacentral:rRNA from 1 species